UACGUAGGGUGCAAGCGUUGUCCGGAAUUAUUGGGCGUAAAGAGCUCGUAGGCGGCUUGUCGCGUCGGCUGUGAAAACCUGGGGCUCAACCCCGGGCCUGCAGCCGAUACGGGCAAGCUAGAAUUCGGUAGGGGAGACUGGAAUUCCUGGUGUAGCGGUGAAAUGCGCAGAUAUCAGGAGGAACACCGGUGGUGUAGACGGCUCUCUGGACCGUAACUGACGCUGAGACACGAAAGCGUGGGUAGCAAACAGG
rnacentral:rRNA from 1 species